rnacentral:rRNA from 1 species
GUGAUGGCGUGCCUUUUGUAGAAUGAACCGGCGAGUUACGAUUUGAUGCAAGGUUAAGCAGUAAAUGUGGAGCCGUAGCGAAAGCGAGUCUGAAUAGGGCGUUUAGUAUUUGGUCGUAGACCCGAAACCAGGUGAUCUACCCUUGGUCAGGUUGAAGUUCAGGUAACACUGAAUGGAGGACCGAACCGACUUACGUUGAAAAGUGAGCGGAUGAACUGAGGGUAGCGGAGAAAUUCCAAUCGAACCUGGAGAUAGCUGGUUCUCUCCGAAAUAGCUUUAGGGCUAGCCUCAAGUGAUGAUUAUUGGAGGUAGAGCACUGUUUGGACGAGGGGCCCCUCUCGGGUUACCGAAUUCAGACAAACUCCGAAUGCCAAUUAAUUUAACUUGGGAGUCAGAACAUGGGUGAUAAGGUCCGUGUUCGAAAGGGAAACAGCCCAGACCACCAGCUAAGGUCCCAAAAUAUAUGUUAAGUGGAAAAGGAUGUGGCGUUGCCCAGACAACUAGGAUGUUGGCUUAGAAGCAGCCAUCAUUUAAAGAGUGCGUAAUAGCUCACUAGUCGAGUGACACUGCGCCGAAAAUGUACCGGGGCUAAACAUAUUACCGAAGCUGUGGAUUGUCCUUUGGACAAUGGUAGGAGAGCGUUCU